rnacentral:rRNA from 1 species
UGGGGAAUUUUGGACAAUGGGCGAAAGCCUGAUCCAGCAAUGCCGCGUGUGUGAAGAAGGCCUUCGGGUUGUAAAGCACUUUUGUCCGGAAAGAAAUCCUUGGCUCUAAUACAGUCGGGGGAUGACGGUACCGGAAGAAUAAGCACCGGCUAACUACGUGCCAGCAGCCGCGGUAAUACGUAGGGUGCAAGCGUUAAUCGGAAUUACUGGGCGUAAAGCGUGCGCAGGCGGUUUUGUAAGACGGAUGUGAAAUCCCCGGGCUUAACCUGGGAACUGCAUUCGUGACUGCAAGGCUAGAGUAUGGCAGAGGGGGGUAGAAUUCCACGUGUAGCAGUGAAAUGCGUAGAGAUGUGGAGGAAUACCGAUGGCGAAGGCAGCCCCCUGGGCCAAUACUGACGCUCAUGCACGAAAGCGUGGGGAGCAAAACAGGAUUAGAUACCCUGGUAGUCCACGCCCUAAACGAUGUCAACUAGUUGUUGGGGAUUCAUUUCCUUAGUAACGUAGCUAACGCGUGAAGUUGACCGCCUGGGGAGUACGGUCGCAAGAUUAAAACUCAAAUGAAUUGACGGGGUCAUAGCUGUUUCCU